rnacentral:rRNA from 2 species
AUAUAAAAUGACUCUCGGCAACGGAUAUCUCGGCUCUUGCAUCGAUGAAGAACGUAGCGAAAUGCGAUACUUGGUGUGAAUUGCAGAAUCCCGUGAACCAUCGAGUCUUUGAACGCAAGUUGCGCCCAAAGCCAUUAGGCCGAGGGCACGCCUGCCUGGGUGUCACAC